CAGAUGCGAUCAUACCAGCACUAA
rnacentral:rRNA from 1 species